CAUAUCACUUCGAAACAUUGUUUCCCGUCCGAUCACCGAAGUUAAGCAACGUCGAGUAUGGUCAGUAUCUAGAAGAGUGUCCCCUUGGGUAUACCAGGUGUUGUAA